rnacentral:lncRNA from 1 species
ACCUGGGAAGCACGCAGGACGGACGGACGGGAUGAGUAAAGCUCAGGACCUCCGAGACGUCUCACUUUCACCAUUCAUUCGGGGCGCUGGGAGGCGGAGGCCUCAGCAUUUCCUAACUUAUUUUUUUAUGAAGCACUCGCCUCACCCAGUAGACUGAGAGUGUGCUCCCCGUUGACCUCGGCUCAGAAAGAAGGGAAGUCCGAUGCUAAGUUCCUCUUCCUCUACCACGGGCUCCACGCACCCCAAGACCCCCCGGGAGGUCCCGAUCCUCCUUCAGAACCAGAGCACAAGGACCGUCUUUCAUGCUCUUUUCUUGGUAGAACCUGACCUGUUGCAGAGCCAAGCACCCCGCCUCUGUCUUGGGCACGCGACAGUCAGCCCUCGGGAACUUAGGUCCAGCCCAGUAAUGGACUUGUUGGCAUCCCCUCAUCUCCCAGUUAUGAAUUCCUUGGGUCCCGUGUGUCUCUACGUUCCAGUUGGUAGCACCGAACGAGUCUGCUGAAUGGAUUUUCCCUUAGUUUGAAUCCCUGCCUGGUUUGGCCAUAAGAAAACAAAUACCAUUCACGGGGUGUGUGACAUAGACGCUGGUGCUCCCCAAUUAUUCCAUGAGAUCCUGCAUAUUUUCCAGCCUUCCUGGCACUUAGCAUGGGGCCAGGUGACGAAUUCAAGUUCACGGGCACAAGGGGGAGUGAAGCAAUGCACAGCAUUUGCCACCCGAGGACACCGAGGAGGUUGAAAGCUGCACGCAUCUGCCGCGGUGGCUGGAAGCGAAGAACACUGAGACGGCGAAGGGGCCACAGAGAGCAUCUCUAAUGCGCACCACUGCUGAAAGGCGGCCACCAGAGAGGACAGGCUGAGCUGUAUCGGACUGCUCCGAAAGUGACAAAUAAGCCUCUGGCUUUGGAGGUUUGCUGCCACAGCAAAACUUAGCUUUACCCUGACCAACCACGGGUGAGUUUCACAAGCUGAAAGUGUAAGGAGGAGACAAGCUUGUGGAAUAUGACAGCAUCACUGGCUAGCAACAUCUUCUGAUAUCCUGGAAUUAGUCGGGAUGGGCCAUGGAUCUGGAUCUGAAACUUUUAAAUCGAAAUGGGGACAAGAGCAUCCCUAUGACGUCAUUGGAGAAUCUGAGGCAUAGAGAAGCGAAGGGAUGGGCUUCUCGGAUUAGGAGUGAGCGAAGCAUGAGAAGAGAGACCUCAAUUUCCCCUGGGCUGUUUCCCACCCUUCCUAGUUGGGAUUUCUCCUCCCCCAGCAUUUGUGCCCUUUGGGUUAGUAUUCUAGGCAUGAGACUGACCUAUUUCGAAGUGGGACAGGUUGGCAUCUCUAAAGCGGGUUCCACAGAAGACUCUGUUUUGAAGCAACAUGGUGGUAAAGAGGUUAACAUUGAAUGGGAGUUUUACUUCCAGGCAGGGAUCUCGAGCCCUGGCGGAAAGACUGCAGCUGCCCUGUGGCCCAGAUAAUGCAACAUCGGGCUGAGCAAGGACAUCUGAGAACAUUCUGUUCUCCUCCCCCGAGACCAAUUAAAAUCUGGAGGCAUCUUUCUUGUUGAUCGAGCUGACUAACUAAUUGAAACGGAAUUGUGAUAUUUUCAUCAGCUUUCUCUUAUCCCUCUUGGCCUUGCCAGCAGAGAGCAAGCUGAAUGAUCAGAGAGUUUCAAGCAUGUGAGGCCCAGGGAACGGAACCCCUCCCACCGUAAACCACUACAUUACCACGGAACAAGGUUCGAAAAAGGAUGAUGCGGGGUUGGGAGUAGGGCGAUACGCUCAAAUCUCAGUCUCAGUUCAUCCAGAUACCAAAGAUACCAUCUUCGGGAUUCCUGAUGAACCAUAACGCUGUCCUUCAGCAGUUGCUGCUCCAAUAAACCAGCUUCUGACCUCUGCCUUCCUAACGAACAUCCCUCUGCCUGACUGGGGAAGCUCCUAGAAACAAAGAACCAAACGCCUCUGAGGCCCAACAAGAUCCCUUUCCUUCCAUUGAGCUAGAAUGUAUUUCCUCGGCACGUGCAAAUGGCCUAGUGGUUAAUCUUAGCAUUGUCCCAAAGGACAUCCAAGCCUCUGGGAAUGGGUUACAUGAUUGAGAUUGCAGGACCUUUUUCUGCUUCAGCAUGAAGACCUGCAUGUUAGCAUUUGUGAGGAGAGCUCAAGAUGGGGGGAAGUCCUCUUGGCUCCUGAUCUAAGGAAGAGCUGCGUUUUGAAGCAUUGGUAGAAUUGCUCACGUGUCCAGUGUGAGGUGGCCUUGGCUGACAAGCUAUCAAAAUAAAUAAAUAACAAGAAAAU